rnacentral:rRNA from 1 species
UGGCGGACGGGUGAGUAAUGUCUGGGAAACUGCCCGAUGGAGGGGGAUAACUACUGGAAACGGUAGCUAAUACCGCAUAACGUCGCAAGACCAAAGAGGGGGACCUUCGGGCCUCUUGCCAUCGGAUGUGCCCAGAUGGGAUUAGCUAGUAGGUGGGGUAACGGCUCACCUAGGCGACGAUCCCUAGUUGGUCUGAGAGGAUGACCAGCCACACUGGAACUGAGACACGGUCCAG